rnacentral:rRNA from 1 species
UACGACGGGGGCUAGCGUUGUUCGGAAUUACUGGGCGUAAAGCGCACGUAGGCGGAUUUGUUAGUCAGGGGUGAAAUCCCGGGGCUCAACCUCGGAACUGCCUUUGAUACUGCAAGUCUCGAGUCCGGAAGAGGUGAGUGGAAUUCCUAGUGUAGAGGUGAAAUUCGUAGAUAUUAGGAAGAACGCCAGUGGCGAAGGCGGCUCACUGGUCCGGUACUGACGCUGAGGUGAGAAAGCGUGGGGAGCAAACAGG